rnacentral:lncRNA from 1 species
UACCUCAUUAUUCCCAAUAGCCAUGAAGGCCAUUUGAGCUGAUUCUUCCUCUUCUUCAACUUCCCCUUCGGAGUUACAUUCAUUCCAAGUAAUUUGGAAGUUGUUGAAUCUUGGUUUUCGAUCAGCUUUACCAUCUUUCAUUUUCUUCAUGGGACAUUCAUUUGCAUAGUGUCCAGGUUGUCCACAUUCAUAGCAUUUGUCCACUUGCUUCUUGUUGAAUUCUUGUUUUCCUUUGUUCCUUGCAUUUGAUGAAUAAUUUUGAAAUUGAUUGCUAGGUCCUCC